GACGAACGCUGGCGGCGUGCUUAACACAUGCAAGUCGAACGGAAAGGCCCUGCUUUUGUGGGGUGCUCGAGUGGCGAACGGGUGAGUAACACGUGAGUAACCUGCCCUUGACUUUGGGAUAACUUCAGGAAACUGGGGCUAAUACCGGAUAGGAGCUCCUGCUGCAUGGUGGGGGUUGGAAAGUUUCGGCGGUUGGGGAUGGACUCGCGGCUUAUCAGCUUGUUGGUGGGGUAGUGGCUUACCAAGGCUUUGACGGGUAGCCGGCCUGAGAGGGUGACCGGCCACAUUAGGACUGAGAUACGGCCCAGACUACUACGGGAGGCAGCAGUGGGGAAUAUUGCACAAUGGGCGGAAGCCUGAUGCAGCAACGCCGCGUGCGGGAUGACGGCCUUCGGGUUGUAAACCGCUUUCGCCUGUGACGAAGCGUGAGUGACGGUAAUGGGUAAAGAAGCACCGGCUAACUACGUG
rnacentral:rRNA from 1 species